rnacentral:rRNA from 1 species
UACGAAGGGUGCAAGCGUUACUCGGAAUUACUGGGCGUAAAGCGCGCGUAGGUGGUUUGUUAAGUUGGAUGUGAAAUCCCCGGGCUCAACCUGGGAACUGCAUCCAAAACUGGCAAGCUAGAGUAUGGUAGAGGGUGGUGGAAUUUCCUGUGUAGCGGUGAAAUGCGUAGAUAUCGGGAGGAACACCAGUGGCGAAGGCGGCGAUCUGGGCAGACACUGACGCUGAGGUGCGAAAGCGUGGGGAGCAAACAGG